rnacentral:ribozyme from 1 species
GGUGUGCAAUAGACUUACACCUCCUCGUGGUGCACCCUAGGCAACGUAUACUCAUAUGGCAAAAAUGUCUAU